rnacentral:rRNA from 1 species
GACGAACGCUGGCGGCGUGCCUAAUACAUGCAAGUCGAGCGGAAUGAAGAAGAAGCUUGCUUCUUCUGAUUUUUAGCGGCGGACGGGUGAGUAACACGUGGGCAACCUACCUUGUAGAUUGGGAUAACUCCGGGAAACCGGGGCUAAUACCGAAUAAUCCAUUUUGCUUCAUGGCGAGAUGUUAAAAGGCGGCUUCGGCUGUCACUACGAGAUGGGCCCGCGGCGCAUUAGCUAGUUGGUAGGGUAAUGGCCUACCAAGGCGACGAUGCGUAGCCGACCCGAGAGGGUGAUCGGCCACACUGGGACUGAGACACGGCCCAGACUCCUACGGGAGGCAGCAGUAGGGAAUCUUCCACAAUGGACGAAAGUCUGAUGGAGCAACGCCGCGUGAGUGAAGAAGGUUUUCGGAUCGUAAAACUCUGUUGUAAGGGAAGAACACGUACGAGAGUAACUGCUCGUACCUUGACGGUACCUUAUUAGAAAGCCACGGCUAACUACGUG